UAAGGGCGCACGGUGGAUGCCUUGGCACUAGAAGCCGAUGAAGGACGUUACUAACGACGAUAUGCUUUGGGGAGCUGUAAGUAAGCUUUGAUCCAGAGAUUUCCGAAUGGGGAAACCCAGCAUGAGUUAUGUCAUGUUAUCGAUAUGUGAAUACAUAGCAUAUCAGAAGGCACACCCGGAGAACUGAAACAUCUUAGUACCCGGAGGAAGAGAAAGAAAAUUCGAUUCCCUUAGUAGCGGCGAGCGAAACGGGAAGAGCCCAAACCAACAAGCUUGCUUGUUGGGGUUGUAGGACACUCUAUACGGAGUUACAAAGGACGACAUUAGACGAAUCAUCUGGAAAGAUGAAUCAAAGAAGGUAAUAAUCCUGUAGUCGAAAAUGUUGUCUCUCUUGAGUGGAUCCUGAGUACGACGGAGCACGUGAAAUUCCGUCGGAAUCUGGGAGGACCAUCUCCUAAGGCUAAAUACUCUCUAGUGACCGAUAGUGAACCAGUACCGUGAGGGAAAGGUGAAAAGCACCCCGGAAGGGGAGUGAAAUAGAACCUGAAACCGUGUGCUUACAAGUAGUCAGAGCCCGUUAAUGGGUGAUGGCGUGCCUUUUGUAGAAUGAACCGG
rnacentral:rRNA from 1 species